UAUCCCAAUGAUGAUCAUGUUUAAAAAUUAAAGUAGUGGACUGAUAUCUAUUGAUGAUAUGUCGAUUCUGAGGGAUU